rnacentral:rRNA from 1 species
UACAGAGGUCUCAAGCGUUGUUCGGAUUCAUUGGGCGUAAAGGGUGCGUAGGCGGCGCGGCAAGUCGGGUGUGAAAUCUUGGAGCUUAACUCCGAAACUGCAUUCGAUACUGCCGUGCUUGAGGACUGGAGAGGAGGCUGGAAUUUACGGUGUAGCGGUGAAAUGCGUAGAUAUCGUAAGGAAGACCAGUGGCGAAGGCGGGUCUCUGGACAGUUCCUGACGCUGAGGCACGAAGGCCAGGGGAGCAAACGGG